AAAUCAUAGACUCUUGUCUGUUUUGGGCGUCGCGCUUCUGCGUCGCCUCGAAGCCAUUGCUGUCGAACGGACGAGAUCCUUUGGGACUAUGCCGCUAGACUUGGGAAAAACUUCUUUGA
rnacentral:misc_RNA from 1 species